rnacentral:rRNA from 1 species
UACGGAGGGUGCGAGCGUUGUCCGGAAUCACUGGGCGUAAAGGGCGCGUAGGCGGCGCGGGUAGUCAUCGGUGAAAGUUCAGGGCUCAACUCUGAAUCGGCCGGUGAUACUCCCGUGCUCGAGCACUGUAGAGGCAGGUGGAAUUCCGGGUGUAGCGGUGGAAUGCGCAGAUAUCAGGAGGAACACCGGUGGCGAAGGCGGGUCUCUGGGCCGAUGACUGACGCUGGAGGAGCGAAAGCGUGGGGAGCGAACAGG